rnacentral:lncRNA from 1 species
AGUGAGCAUGUCAAUUAACUUGUAAAGAAUUAAAUGAGAAUUAAUCCUCAAGCUAAAGAUUAAUUUCCUUAACACAUGAUUAUUUUUCACAAGAUACGAAAUAAAUGAAAAAAAAAUAAAGCCUAAAAUCUAAACAUGUUAUUUUCUAAGUAUUCAUAUUAAAAUGCAUAAAAAGUGCAUCUAAAAAUAAAACCUAAAAAAGGAUUUAAACACAAAUUAAAAAAAAAAUAAAAGAAAGAAAACCCAAAGAAACCAUAAAAACAAAAUAGAGAGAUAGGGGGUGCGUGUAACAUUUUGAUGGUGGUGUAAAAACCAUUCUGGUCUGGUCUUGGGGAUUAAGCCCAAAAUCAAGAAGUAUGCUCAGGUUUGGGGUGUUAAAGCUAACUCGGGGGUGUUAGCAGCAAAAUGAUUGGCCUUAGGACAUUUGGAGCCCAAUCCAUUUAGUCACUUGA